rnacentral:rRNA from 1 species
UACAGAGGUCCCAAGCGUUGUUCGGAUUCACUGGGCGUAAAGGGUGCGUAGGCGGUUUGAUAAGUCUGAUGUGAAAUCCCGCAGCUUAACUGCGGAACUGCAUUGGAAACUAUUUGACUAGAGGAAUGGAGGGGAGACUGGAAUACUUGGUGUAGCAGUGAAAUGCGUAGAUAUCAAGUGGAACACCAGUGGCGAAGGCGAGUCUCUGGACAUUUCCUGACGCUGAGGCACAAAAGCCAGGGGAGCAAACGGG